CAGAGGGGGAUUAAGGUUCUGCCACCACAUUUCAGGUUCAAUCUGUGCAUGAUCAGGUGGCCCAAUGGCUGGAGAGUUUGACAGGUGGCCUCGGGCCUGAGUGCCCUUUGCUGGUUUGAAGCACAUUGCUGGACCCAGAAACCCCUGCCUUAAAUCUUGGGCGUGCAGAGUUGUAAAUCAGCCUGGGGUGAAAUUUGGCUUCUGGAAAGCUGGGCUUUUGGUCAUGAAUGCAGUGCAUUAAUGUGGUGGUGCUGUGGGGGCAGGUCUCAGCCUCUCCCUGUGCCUUUCUCUCUAGAGAUCUCUACCUCCUCCUUCCUCCUGUUCCUCCUCUGUGGGGGAGCCUGUCAAGGAACCUACCUCAAUUCAGGGAGUGUGAAUGACGCCUGGGAGGUCCUGGAUCUCAAGCCAGAGAUCUCAAGCUUUUCCUUCCCUCCCACCUGAUCCUCUCCCUCCUCCGCCAGACACCUGCUGCAGGGAGGUCCUAAAACCAGGUAACUUUUACAAAGGCUGCAUGGUCCUUGGGUUCAUGCUGGGUCCUAGGCUUGAAGGGUGCUGACUGAUCAGGGGCUGCUCAUAGGACUUACCAAGUGGGGUUGUUGAUUUCAGGGUGUGGGGUGAGUUCCGGCUCUGAGAUUGUCACACCCCAGCCCGUAGCGUGUUUCUGGGCGCUGAAAGGGAGAGGAGGAAGGAAAUCACACUGGCAGUGCCCCCGGGCCCUGCAGAGCGGACUUCUGACGUGGGAGGCUGUCAGGGCUCCGAGUUGCUGUUAGAGCAGCGCAUUCUGGUCAAAGGGCUCUGGAGAACCCCGGAGACCCUCCACUCCUUCAGGCUGAAAUACAUGGUUGCCGAUUGUAUGACGAGACCCCAUGGAAGUGCUCGGGGCUGAGAUGGGGUUACAGGGCGCCUCUUAUCAUCUGGCCAAUUUCUUUCACCUCAGGAUACUGGCAUAAUUGCUCACACAUCUUUGGUUCAAAUUCAGCGUGUUUCUCUGAUAAAUGACCAGAAAAUUUGACAGGGCUGACAUCACGCCCUCUCCUCUUGGGUGUUCAGUUCGCUGAGAGGAAGGGGCAGAGGACACUCACGCCGGUCUGUGCCCAAGACCAGUGCUUCAAACGUCAAAGCCCCAUCUUUAGCUCUGGUGUUUCUGGACCCAAGGGUCUGCCUCUGGAGAAACAGGGCCAGCUGACCCAGGGAGCCUGUCACACUCUGGCCCUGGGGCACCGAUCUGGCUGACAUGCCCGCCAGAUGCUGAGGGCACAGCUGUGUCCCUGCCCUGAGGUGAGUCCGUUUGGCCAGAGCCGUAGAGGCUCCCUGUUUCCAGCCCCAAGCCUAUGAGCAUGUGCUGAGGGUCCCACAUCCUCCCUCAGCUGCAGCUCUGAGCCCGCAGUCUCAGCCAGGCGUCUGCCAGGGGCUCUGCCUGGGCUGGGGUUCAGCCUGGCGA
rnacentral:lncRNA from 1 species